UGAGAGUUUGAUCCUGGCUCAGAGCGAACGCUGGCGGCAGGCUUAACACAUGCAAGUCGAGCGCCGUAGCAAUACGGAGCGGCAGACGGGAGAGUAACACGUGGGAACGUGCCCUUCAGUUCGGAACAACCCAGGGAAACUUGGGCUAAUACCGGAUACGUCCGUAAGGAGAAAGAUUUAUCGCUGAAGGAUCGGCCCGCGUCUGAUUAGCUAGUUGGUGGGGUAACGGCCCACCAA
rnacentral:rRNA from 1 species